rnacentral:rRNA from 1 species
CUUUACUAUAGCUUCGCCUUGGCGUUAGCGACCGUAUGUGUAGGAUAGGUGGGAGGCUAUGAAGCCGGGGCGCCAGCUCUGGUGGAGCCAUCCUUGAAAUACCACCCUUACUGUCGUUGACGUCUAACCGAGGGCCGUUAUCCGGUCCCGGGACAUGGCGUGGUGGGUAGUUUGACUGGGGCGGUCGCCUCCUAAAGUGUAACGGAGGCGCGCGAUGGUGGGCUCAGACCGGUCGGAAAUCGGUCGUCGAGUGCAAUGGCAUAAGCCCGCCUGACUGCGAGACUGACAAGUCGAGCAGAGACGAAAGUCGGCCAUAGUGGUCCGGUGGUCCCGCGUGGAAGGGCCAUCGCGCAACGGAUAAAAGGUA